rnacentral:rRNA from 1 species
AUAGCUCAUUACAACAGCCUCUGUUUAUUAGAUCUUUUUAUCCUACUUGGAUAACUGUGGCAAUUCUAGAGCUAAUACACGCAUCAAAACUCCGACCUUGCGGAAGGAGUGCAUUUAUUAGACCAAAACCAAUACAGGCUUGCCUGUACUUUUGGUGAAUCUGAAUAACCUUGCCGAGUGAAUGGUCCUUGAACCGUCACCAUAUCUUUCAAAUGUCUGCCUUAUCAACUUUCGACGGUAGUUUAUAUGACAACCGUGGUUGUAACGGGUAACGGAGAAUUAGGGUUCGACUCCGGAGAGGGAGCCUGAGAAACAGCUACCACAUCCAAGGAAGGCAGCAGGCACGCAAAUUACCCACUCCCGGCACGGGGAGGUAGUGACGAAAAAUAACCAGCUGGUUCUCAUUCGAGUCUCAGUAUGGUAAUGACUGAAUAUCUAAAUCCACUCAGGAUGAUCUAUUGGAGGGCAAGUCUGGUGCCAGCAGCCGCGGUAAUUCCAGCUCCAAUAGCGUAUAUUAAAGUUGUUGCGGUUAAAAAGCUCGUAGUUGGAUCUAAGGUCGUGAGCGGCGGUCUCCCAAUGGGUAGUUACUGCUGUCUCAGGCCAAUAUUUUCUGGUUUGCUCUUGGUGCUCUUAAUUGAGUGUCUUGAGUGGCUAGAGCCUUUACUUUGAAAAAAUUAGAGUGCUUAAAGCAGACAACUGUCUGAAUAGUGGUGCAUGGAAUAAUAGAAUAAGACCUCGAGUCUAUUUUGUUGGUUUUCGGUCCCGAGGUAAUGAUUAAGAGGGGCGAACGGGGGCAUCCGUAUUGCGACGUUAGAGGUGAAAUUCUUGGAUCGUCGCAAGACGAACGACUGCGAAAGCAUUUGCCAAGAACGCUUUCAUUAAUCAAGAACGAAAGUUAGAGGUUCGAAGGCGAUCAGAUACCGCCCUAGUUUUAACUGUAAACGAUGCAACCUAGCGAUCUGAGGGCGUUAAAAAUAUGACUCCUCAAGCAGCUUACGGGAAACUAAAGGUUUUAUGUUCCGGGGGAAGUAUGGUUGCAAAGCUGAAACUUAAAGGAAUUGACGGAAUGGCACCACCAGGAGUGGAGCCUGCGGCUUAAUUUGACUCAACGCGGGAAAACUCACCCGGCCCUGACACUGUAAGGAUUGACAGAUUGAGAGCUCUUUCUUGAUUCGGUGGGUGGUGGUGCAUGGCCGUUCUUAGUUGGUGGAGCGAUUUGUCUGGUUAAUUCCGAUAACGAACGAGACUCUAGCCUACUAAAUAGUAAGCGGAUUUUCUAGUCCGUUGACUUCUUAGAGGGACAAGUGGUGUCUAGCCACACGAGAUUGAGCAAUAACAGGUCUGUGAUGCCCUUAGAUGUUCGGGGCUGCACGCGCGCUACACUGAAGAAAACAACGUGCAGUCAUACCUUCUCCGUAAGGAGCGGGUAACCCGUUGAAACUCCUUCGUGCUUGGGAUAGGGAAUUGCAAUUAUUUCCCUUAAACGAGGAAUUCCUAGUAAGUGCGGGUCAUCAUCUCGCGUUGAUUACGUCCCUGCCAUUUGUACACACCGCCCGUCGCUACUACCGAUUGGAUGAUUUAUUGAAGAGUUCGGACUGGUACUGCUGCGGCCUUUCGGUUGCGUCAGUUUCCGGAAA